AUUGAACGCUGGCGGCAGGCCUAACACAUGCAAGUCGAGCGGAUGAAGGGAGCUUGCUCCUGGAUUCAGCGGCGGACGGGUGAGUAAUGCCUAGGAAUCUGCCUGGUAGUGGGGGAUAACGUCCGGAAACGGGCGCUAAUACCGCAUACGUCCUGAGGGAGAAAGUGGGGGAUCUUCGGACCUCACGCUAUCAGAUGAGCCUAGGUUGGAUUAGCUAGUUGGUGGGGUAAAGGCCUACCAAGGCGACGAUCCGUAACUGGUCUGAGAGGAUGAUCAGUCACACUGGAACUGAGACACGGUCCAGACUCCUGCGGGAGGCAGCAGUGGGGAAUAUUGGACAAUGGGCGAAAGCCUGAUUCAGCCAUGCCGCGUGUGUGAAGAAGGUCUUCGGAUUGUAAAGCACUUUAAGUUGGGAGGAAGGGCAGUAAGUUAAUACCUUGCUGUUUUGACGUUACCAACAGAAUAAGCACCGGCUAACUUCGUG
rnacentral:rRNA from 1 species